rnacentral:tRNA from 1 species
GCCUGCUAUAGUCCAGUGGCACAGGUGUCUGCAUGUGAGGCAUAGGUCGUGGGUUCAAACCCCACCAGGCA